GGGGGCGUAGCUCAGUGGGAGAGCACCUGCUUUGCAAGCAGGGGGUCGUCGGUUCGAAUCCGACCGUCUCCA
rnacentral:tRNA from 14 species